CUAUGUUUUCCAAAAAAGAAUGGAGGGAUGGGGUUUCGUGACCUACACUCUUUUAACUUACCGAUGCUAGCUAAGCAAGUUUGGCGCUUGAUUGAUGAACCUGAAUCUUUGUGUGCUAGGGUACUUUGAGCAAAAUAUUAUCCCUCUGGUGACAUUUUAAAAGCAGGACCAAAGAAGGGUUCGUCAUUCACAUGGCAAAGUCUAGUUGCCGGUAUUCAAACGUUUAAACGCGGGCAUAUAUGGAGAGUUGGCAAGGGGGAAAAGAUCAAUAUUUGGGAAGAUCACUGGGUACCUUCCAGCCCCACAAGGCAAGUGAUUACACAUAGAGGUGGUGCUAUAAUCACAAGAGUGAAUGAAUUGAUUGAUCCGAUUACUGAACAGUGGGAUGAAGAACUAAUACGUAGCAUUUUCAGUCCUGUUGAUGUUGGGAGAAUCCUUCGUAUCCCAUUGAGCCAUAAUGGAUUUGAGGAUUUUGUAGCCUGGCAGGGGAAUAGGAAUGGAGUUUUCAUAGUACGGUCGGUGCAAGAUCUCUUCCAGUAA
rnacentral:rRNA from 1 species